CCCAUGGUCAGAUUUUUUGUAUAAAAAUAAAAAAUAAAUUGUAAGGCGCGUAAGAAAUUUCAAAAACAUAACUUGAGUUGUGCGGGAUUACGGGCGCGGCUCUCUGCUCGUCCCUCCAUCCCCGGGUGUUGCAAUCGGCAUGCGGCUAUCGGGACCCAGGCCGCAAGGCCCCCGGCACCGUGCCGCAACAUACCGUGAGUGUGCAGGAUGUGACCCGAAAGAUGGUGAACUAUGCCUGAUCAUGUUGAAGUCAGGGGAAACCCUGAUGGAGGACCGAAGCAGUUUUGACGUGCAAAUCGAUUGUCAGAAUUGGGCAUAGAGGCGAAAGACCAAUCGAACCAUCUAGUAGUUGGUUCCCUCCGAAGUUUCCCUCAGGAUAGCUGGAGCACGCAACGUUUCGGAACCUAUUCUUAUCUGGUAAAGCGAAUGAUUAGAGGCCUUAGGUUCGAAAUGAUCUUAACCUAUUCUCAAACUAUAAAUGGGUACGUACCAUAGCAUUCUUGCAUGAUGCUGUUGCAACGUUGACGCCGGGUCGCCCCCUGUCAGGGUGUGCCAUCCACAAGCGGCGUAGAAGAUAUCUGUGUGCUUAGUGGGCCAAGUUUUGGUAAGCAGAACUGGUGCUGUGGGAUGAACCAAACGUUAUGUUACGGCGCCUAAAUAAACGACGCAUCAUAGAUACCAUGAAAGGUGUUGAUUGCUACAGAUAGCAGGACGGUGGACAUGGAAGUUGUCAUCCGCAAAGGAGUGUGUAACAACUCACUUGCCGAAGCAAUUAGCCCUUAAAAUGGAUGGCGCUUAAGUCGUUUGCCUAUACAUUACCGCAGGCGUACAAGUGGGGCAGCGCGCACGCACGUCUGCCCUUUGAGACGCCAGCGAGUAGUAGGGUCUGGUGGUGUGCGUUGAAGUGCCUGGCGUAAGCCGACAUGGAGCCGCCACUAGCACAGAUCUUGGUGGUAGUAGCAAAUAUUCGAAUGGGAUCUUGGAUGACUGAAGUGGAGGAGGGUUUCGUGUCAACAGCAGUUGAACACGAGUUAGCCAAUCCUAAGCUCUAUGGGAAACCUGAUAUAUAUUUAGCAUUUAACCGAAUACAACGUUCGCCAGUUGAUGCAACCGUCCUGAUAUAUAUAUUGAAUGAGCGAAAGGGAAUCCGGUUACAAUUCCGGAGCCUGUUGAGUAAACGUUUGCAUUGGCGUCCCAUACCGGCAACGGUAGCGCCUUUGUAAUCAUGGCAACAUGAAUCCUUUUCUUCGAGAAGCCAACAAGAGAUAUCGGAAGAGUUCUCUUUUCUGUUUUACAGUCACACUAGCCAUGGAAGUCUUUCAUAGAGAGAUAUGGUUGGACAGGCUGGUAGAGCAUGGUAUUAAAUUGCUGUGUCGAUAUUCUCUUCUUGGACCUUGAAAAUCGAAGACUGGUGUACGGAAACUCUCAACAGCUUGUACCGAAUCCGCAGCAGGUCUCCAAGGUUUAGAGUCUCUAGUC
rnacentral:ncRNA from 1 species